rnacentral:misc_RNA from 1 species
CACGCAGUAUCGAAGCUAACGCGUUAAGUUCGCCGCCUGGGGAGUACGGUCGCAAGACUGAAACUCAAAGGAAUUGACGGGGGCCCGCACAAGCGGUGGAGUAUGUGGUUUAAUUCGAUGCAACGCGAAGAACCUUACCUGGCCUUGACAUGUCGAGAACUUUCCAGAGAUGGAUUGGUGCCUUCGGGAACUCGAACACAGGUGCUGCAUGGCUGUCGUCAGCUCGUGUCGUGAGAUGUUGGGUUAAGUCCCGCAACGAGCGCAACCCUUGUCCUUAGUUGCCAGCACGUAAUGGUGGGAACUCUAAGGAGACCGCCGGUGACAAACCGGAGGAAGGUGGGGAUGACGUCUCCUUCCAUCACA